rnacentral:rRNA from 1 species
UACGGAGGGUGCGAGCGUUGUUCGGAUUUACUGGGCGUAAAGGGCGCGUAGGCGGCCACCGCAAGUCGACUGUGAAAUCUCCGGGCUUAACCCGGAAAGGUCAGCCGAUACUGCGGGGCUAGAGUGCAGAAGGGGCAACUGGAAUUCUCGGUGUAGCGGUGAAAUGCGUAGAUAUCGAGAGGAACACCUGCGGCGAAGGCGGGUUGCUGGGCUGACACUGACGCUGAGGCGCGAAAGCUAGGGGAGCGAACGGG